rnacentral:other from 1 species
AACUCCCUGAGGUGUUCGACAGCUGGUAACGUCCCUCGAGCCGAUAAGCACACCUCCGGAGGUUUCACGCAAGCAUUGAUGUGCAUGUCCGUUUUACGGAAAGCCUAAUAUGUUUCUGAAACCGCCACCUUGAACCUUCGGGUUCAGGGCCAGUACCACACCGGCACCCCGGGGAGCCU